rnacentral:rRNA from 1 species
GACGAACCGUGCGAACGUUGUUCGGAAUCACUGGGCUUAAAGGGCGCGUAGGCGGGCCUCCAAGUCCGGGGUGAAAUCCUCCAGCCUAACUGGAGAAGAGCCUCGGAGACUGGGGGCCUCGAGGGAGGUAGGGGCGUGCGGAACUAUGGGUGGAGCGGUGAAAUGCAUUGAUAUCCAUAGGAACUCCGGUGGCGAAGGCGGCACGCUGGACCUCUUCUGACGCUGAGGCACGAAAGCCAGGGGAGCAAACGGGG